AUUGAACGCUGGCGGCAUGCCUUACACAUGCAAGUCGAACGGCAGCACGGGAGCAAUCCUGGUGGCGAGUGGCGAACGGGUGAGUAAUGUAUCGGAACGUACCUUACAGUGGGGGAUAACGUAGCGAAAGUUACGCUAAUACCGCAUAUUCUCUGAGGAGGAAAGCAGGGGACCUUAGGGCCUUGCGCUGUUAGAGCGGCCGAUAUCAGAUUAGCUAGUUGGUGGGGUAAAAGCCUACCAAGGCGACGAUCUGUAGCGGGUCUGAGAGGAUGAUCCGCCACACUGGAACUGAGACACGGUCCAGACUCCUACGGGAGGCAGCAGUGGGGAAUUUUGGACGAUGGGCGCAAGCCUGAUCCAGCCAUGCCGCGUGAGUGAAGAAGGCCUUCGGGUUGUAAAGCUCUUUCGGCCGGGAAGAAAUCGCAUUGGUUAAUACCUGGUGUGGAUGACGGUACCGGAAUAAGAAGCACCGGCUAACUACGUGCCAGCAGCCGCGGUAAUACGUAGGGUGCGAGCGUUAAUCGGAAUUACUGGGCGUAAAGCGUGCGCAGGCGGUUUUGUAAGACAGGCGUGAAAUCCCCGGGCUCAACCUGGGAACUGCGUUUGUGACUGCAAGGCUAGAGUACGGCAGAGGGGGGUGGAAUUCCACGUGUAGCAGUGAAAUGCGUAGAGAUGUGGAGGAACACCAAUGGCGAAGGCAGCCCCCUGGGUCGAUACUGACGCUCAUGCACGAAAGCGUGGGUAGCAAACA
rnacentral:rRNA from 1 species